rnacentral:rRNA from 1 species
UUAGAGUUUGAUCCUGGCUCAGGAUGAACGCCGGCGGUGUGCCUAAUACAUGCAAGUCGUACGCACUGGCCCAACUGAUUGAUGGUGCUUGCACCUGAUUGACGAUGGAUCACCAGUAAGUGGCGGACGGGUGAGUAACACGUAGGUAACCUGCCCCGGAGCGGGGGAUAACAUUUGGAAACAGAUGCUAAUACCGCAUAACAACAAAAGCCACAUGGCUUUUGUUUGAAAGAUGGCUUUGGCUAUCACUCUGGGAUGGACCUGCGGUGCAUUAGCUAGUUGGUAAGGUAACGGCUUACCAAGGCGAUGAUGCAUAGCCGAGUUGAGAGACUGAUCGGCCACAAUGGAACUGAGACACGGUCCAUACUCCUACGGGAGGCAGCAGUAGGGAAUCUUCCACAAUGGGCGCAAGCCUGAUGGAGCAACACCGCGUGAGUGAAGAAGGGUUUCGGCUCGUAAAGCUCUGUUGUUGGAGAAGAACGUGCGUGAGAGUAACUGUUCACGCAGUGACGGUAUCCAACCAGAAAGUCACGGCUAACUACGUGCCAGCAGCCGCGGUAAUACGUAGGUGGCAAGCGUUAUCCGGAUUUAUUGGGCGUAAAGCGAGCGCAGGCGGUUGCUUAGGUCUGAUGUGAAAGCCUUCGGCUUAACCGAAGAAGUGCAUCGGAAACCGGGCGACUUGAGUGCAGAAGAGGACAGUGGAACUCCAUGUGUAGCGGUGGAAUGCGUAGAUAUAUGGAAGAACACCAGUGGCGAAGGCGGCUGUCUGGUCUGCAACUGACGCUGAGGCUCGAAAGCAUGGGUAGCGAACAGGAUUAGAUACCCUGGUAGUCCAUGCCGUAAACGAUGAGUGCUAGGUGUUGGAGGGUUUCCGCCCUUCAGUGCCGGAGCUAACGCAUUAAGCACUCCGCCUGGGGAGUACGACCGCAAGGUUGAAACUCAAAGGAAUUGACGGGGGCCCGCACAAGCGGUGGAGCAUGUGGUUUAAUUCGAAGCUACGCGAAGAACCUUACCAGGUCUUGACAUCUUGCGCUAACCUUAGAGAUAAGGCGUUCCCUUCGGGGACGCAAUGACAGGUGGUGCAUGGUCGUCGUCAGCUCGUGUCGUGAGAUGUUGGGUUAAGUCCCGCAACGAGCGCAACCCUUAUUACUAGUUGCCAGCAUUAAGUUGGGCACUCUAGUGAGACUGCCGGUGACAAACCGGAGGAAGGUGGGGACGACGUCAGAUCAUCAUGCCCCUUAUGACCUGGGCUACACACGUGCUACAAUGGACGGUACAACGAGUCGCAAGACCGCGAGGUUUAGCAAAUCUCUUAAAGCCGUUCUCAGUUCGGAUUGUAGGCUGCAACUCGCCUACAUGAAGUCGGAAUCGCUAGUAAUCGCGGAUCAGCAUGCCGCGGUGAAUACGUUCCCGGGCCUUGCACUCACCGCCCGUCA